UCCAAACGUUUCGCCUUUUACGGCUUCUUCAGUGGAAUUACGUGUUCUUCCACUGAAGAAGCCGUAAAAGGCGAAACGUUUGGA